GUGGGGAAUAUUGGACAAUGGGCGAAAGCCUGAUCCAGCCAUGCCGCGUGUGUGAAGAAGGUCUUCGGAUUGUAAAGCACUUUAAGUUGGGAGGAAGGGCAGUAAGUUAAUACCUUGCUGUUUUGACGUUACCGACAGAAUAAGCACCGGCUAACUUCGUGCCAGCAGCCGCGGUAAUACGAAGGGUGCAAGCGUUAAUCGGAAUUACUGGGCGUAAAGCGCGCGUAGGUGGUUUUGUAAGUUGGAGGUGAAAUCCCCGGGCUCAACCUGGGAACUGCCUCCAAAACUGCAUGACUAGAGUACGGUGGAGGGUAGUGGAAUUUCCUGUGUAGCGGUGAAAUGCGUAGAUAUAGGAAGGAACACCAGUGGCGAAGGCGACUACCUGGACUGAUACUGACACUGAGGUGCGAAAGCGUGGGGAGCAAACAGGAUUAGAUACCCGUGUAGUCC
rnacentral:rRNA from 1 species